UGUCGAAAGAGGAAAUUCAUUCGCGUUUCGGCGUCGAAGUUAAACGUUUGUAUGACGAGAGACGUUUCGGCGUAUUUUGCGUCUUACGUUUUUCGAGUCGAUGUCGAACGCGUGCACUUUUCCUCUAGUAGGACGUCGCGAUCCGUUGGGUGUCUGUCUAGGGCCCGAGGUGGAGCCCGCGUAAUUUCGAUUGCGUGGACCCUUGGUGUCCCGACAGACUCGCUCGACGGUAUGCUAAUGGCGUGGGGCCGCUACUUAAGUUAGCGUUCGGCCCGUAGCAAGCGCGUUCUGUGUUGACGGCCAUCGGACCUGGUGCCGAUUCUGUCCCGGAACGACUGUUGGUUGCGGUGUUCUCGAACAGACCUCA
rnacentral:rRNA from 1 species